rnacentral:rRNA from 1 species
UACGUAGGGUGCGAGCGUUAAUCGGAAUUACUGGGCGUAAAGCGUGCGCAGGCGGUGAUGUAAGACAGAUGUGAAAUCCCCGGGCUCAACCUGGGAACUGCAUUUGUGACUGCAUCGCUGGAGUGCGGCAGAGGGGGAUGGAAUUCCGCGUGUAGCAGUGAAAUGCGUAGAUAUGCGGAGGAACACCGAUGGCGAAGGCAAUCCCCUGGGCCCGCACUGACGCUCAUGCACGAAAGCGUGGGGAGCAAACAGG